ensembl:lncRNA
GAGACAGUAUGGAGAGUUCCUGUAUACUCUUCACCAUGAAAACUAAGAAAACGACGUUGGUAUAUGACUAUUAACUAAACUUCAGACUUUAUAUAGACAUCUGAGUCUUCUCACUAUUGUCCUUUUUCUGUUCUAGGAUCCAAUUCCAAAUACCACAGUGCAUUUAAGUUGUCAUGUCUCUUUUGUGUCUUCUGGUCUAUGAUAGUUUCUUAGUCUCCUUGUUUUUUAUAACCUUAACAGUUUUGAAAUGUACUAUAGAAUGUCCCUCAAUUUGGAUUUGUCUGAAGUUUCCUCAUAAUUAGACUGGGGUUGGUCUUGGAAAGAAUACCACAGAGUUGAAGUGUCAUUUCCAUCACAUUGUAUCAGGAGGAUGUGAUAUCCCUAUGACAUCCCUGAUGAUGUUGACUUUCACCACUUAGUUAAGAUGCCCGGACCGCCAGUACAAUGGCAAAUGGAAGAGAUGGCCGUGGGCUUCCUUGACUUGUUGGAUAUUUUAGAGGAAACACCACUAACUUUUCCAUAGUAAGAAUGAUAUUUGCUGUAGAUUCCUACAGGUUUUAUCAGAUUAAACAAGUUCUAUACUGUUCAUCUAUGAUAAGAAGUUUUUGUUAUUGUUUUUAAAUCAUGAAAGGGUAUUGUAUUCUUUAUCUAAUACAUUUUCUGUUUCUUAGGAUGAUUAUAUUUUUGUCCCUCCAAUAAUCUGAUGAUGUGAUAAAUGACAUUUAUAGAUUUUCCGCAUGUUACACUACACUUGUAUUUCUGGUGUAAAUACAACUUGGUCAUGAUCUUUUCCUUUUUAUAUGAUACUAGGCUCAGUUUGUUAAUAUCUUGUUUAGGAUUUCUAUAUCUGUGUUCAUGAGUUAAACCAGUCUUUGAUUUUCCUUUCUCAGGCUGUUUUUAUUUGCUUUUGGCAUCAAGUUCUGCUUGCAUCAUAGAAUGAGUCAGUGUUCCCUCGUUUACAGUGUUCUGGAAGAUGCUAUUGGAAUGAUCUGUUUGGUAGAAUUCUCCUGUGAAACCACCUUGGUCUGGUGUUUUCAUUUUUAAUAUUAAGUGAAUAUUAAACUUUAAAUAUUUUCAAAUUUUUAAAUUAAAAACUUGAAAUUUGCUUCCUUAACAUGUUUAUUUUAUAUCAAGUUUUAUGCUUGAAAUGUCUACACACAAAUCCUGAUCAAGACUUUUUAAUGAAGUAUUGUUCAAAUUCUUAACAGUCACAAUCAAUAAAAAUCUUUUUUUGUACAAUUAGGUGAUAAAGUAUUUAAAAUAAACUUUUAAGUUGUUUAAAAAUGUUUAACAAGUGAAAUGAUAUCUAACAGCUUUUGUUUCACUGACAAAUAUAUUUUUUGAAAUUUCUUGUGAUAAUGUGAUUAGAUUUCAGAUCCAGUUGAACUCUUUUGUAUUAACUGUUUCAAAAUAAUGAUGAAGCUCUUAUUUGCAG